AUUGAACGCUGGCGGCAGGCUUAACACAUGCAAGUCGAGCGAGCGGCGGACGGGUGAGUAAUGUCUGGGAAACUGCCUGAUGGAGGGGGAUAACUACUGGAAACGGUAUCUAAUACCGCAUAACAUCAGAUGUGCCCAGAUGGGAUUAGCUAGUAGGUGGGGUAAUGGCUCACCUAGGCGACGAUCCGUAGCUGGACUGAGAGGCUGACCCGCCACACGGGAACUGAGACACGGUCCAGACUCCUACGGGAGGCAGCAGUGGGGAAUAUUGCACAAUGGGCGCAAGCCUGAUGCAGCCAUGCCGCGUGUGUGAAGAAGGCCUUCGGGUUGUAAAGCACUUUCAGCGAGGAGGCGUUACUCGCACAAGAAGCACCGGCUAACUCCGUGCCAGCAGCCGCGGUAAUUC
rnacentral:rRNA from 1 species